GCGAGAGUGGCGGAAUUGGUAGACGCGCUAGAUUUAGGAUCUAGUGCCUUUAUGGCGUGGGGGUUCGAGUCCCCCCUCUCGUA
rnacentral:tRNA from 1 species